rnacentral:rRNA from 1 species
AUUGAACGCUGGCGGCAGGCCUAACACAUGCAAGUCGAGCGGAGGUAGCAAUACCUUAGCGGCGGACGGGUGAGGAAUGUAUCGGAACGUGCCGAGUAGUGGGGGAUAACACAGGGAAACUUGUGCUAAUACCGCAUACGCCCUGAGGGGGAAAGUGGGGGACCGCAAGGCCUCACGCUAUUCCACCGGCCGAUACCCGAUUAGCUAGUUGGUGAGGUAAGAGCUCACCAAGGCGACGAUCGGUAGCUGGUCUUAGGGGACGAUCAGCCACACUGGAACUGAGACACGGUCCAGACUCCUACGGGAGGCAGCAGUGGGGAAUAUUGGACAAUGGGGGCAACCCUGAUCCAGCCAUGCCGCGUGAGUGAAGAAGGCCUUCGGGCCGUAAAGCUCUUUGAGCGGGGAGGAAGGUCAUGCGGUUAAUAACCGUGUGAAUUGACGAUACCUGCAGAACAAGCACCGGCUAACUCUGUGCCAGCCGCCGCCGUAA